rnacentral:rRNA from 1 species
AUACGUAGGGUGCAAGCGUUAAUCGGAAUUACUGGGCGUAAAGCGUGCGCAGGCGGUUUUGUAAGACAGAGGUGAAAUCCCCGGGGCCAACCUGGGAACUGCCUUUUUGACUGCAAGGCUAGAGUCCGGCAGAGGGGGGUGGAAUUCCGCGUGUAGCAGUGAAAUGCGUAGAUAUGCGGAGGAACACCGAUGGCGAAGGCAAUCCCCUGGGCCUGUACUGACGCUCAUGCACGAAAGCGUUGGGAGCAAACAGGAUUAGAUACCCUGGUAGUCCACGCCCUAAACGAUGUCAACUGGUUGUUGGGGAUUUAUUUUCUCAGUAACGAAGCUAACGCGUGAAGUUGACCGCCUGGGGAGUACGGCCGCAAGACUGAAACUCAAAUGAAUUGGCGGGG